CUUAGCCCUAAACAUCAAUAAUUUUAUAACGAAAUUAUUUGCCAGAGAACUACUAGCCACCGCUUAAAACUCAAAGGACUUGGCGGUACUUUAUAUCCAUCUAGAGGAGCCUGUUCUAUAAUCGAUAAACCCCGCUUUACCUUACCACCCCUUGCUAAUACAGCCUAUAUACCGCCAUCUUCAGCAAACCUUUAAAAAAGAAUGAAAGUAAGCAAGAGUAUACUCAUAAAAACGUUAGGUCAAGGUGUAGCCCAUGAGGUGGGAGUAAUGGGCUACAUUUUCUCAAUGAGAACAUUAACGAAAUUCUUUAUGAAACUAAAGAACAAAGGAGGAUUUAGUAGUAAAUUAGGAAUAGAGAGCUUAAUUGAAUAGAGCAAUGAAGUA
rnacentral:rRNA from 1 species